UCCACACUGUAGACUGGAGACUCUGAGAUUGAUGAGCUGCAAGUUGUCAGAGAUCAGCUUUGAUUCUCUGGCCUCAGCUCUGAAGUCCAACCCUUCCCAUCUGAGAGAGCUGGAGCUGAGAGACAACAAGCUGAAGGAUUCAGACGUGAAGCAGCUGUCUGAUCUUGUGGAGAGCCCACACUGUAGACUGGAGACUGUGAGAUGGAAGUGGUGGUGAUCUCUGUCAGAGUGAGUGAUCAGAAAAGUGGAUGUGUUGAGAGGAUCAGCCGUGUCCUGAUGAUCCACAGAGGUUCACCACCUGGACCUGCAUCUUAUUUUGUCUUUUUUAUUCAUUCAUAUAUUCGGAACACAAAAUGCCUCUGCAGAAUAGUUCAGUUUAUGACAACAUAACUCUAGAUUAACACAUUCAAAUAGAUCUUUCUGCUCUGCUUUGUGUCGCAGCUCCACCCUGUGGAACGAUGGAGUUUGGCUGUUUAUUUCCACAUAUUUCUAGAUAACAGUGGAAGUUGAUAAAGGUACCUUUCUAAACCCAAUACCAGCCGUUUCUCAUAUUAUAAAAGAUAGAUAUUGGCUUGUAACAAACAGAAAGAAUUAGAUAAAACCUGAAUUCAAUCAAGGCUUCAGUGAAGUUUCUCAACUGACUACAAACAGAUUAUGUCUGGAUUUUGGUGGAAAGUCAACCCCUUCAUAUUUUAUUUAGUAUAUAAUUGUGAGGGAGCUGCAACCCUCCCCCCCAUGGAA